GUUUUAUAUUGUAUUUUUUCUAUGAGAGCAGCCAUCAGCCAUAUUUACUAAUUAAUCUCCUCAGGAUACGUGUUCCUCACUUGAGUCAUGCUUCUUUAGAAUAGAAUAGAAUGAGCUAGAAGGGACCUUGGAGGUCUUCUAGUCCAGCCCCCUGCUUAAGCAGGAGAAGCUAUACCAUUUUAGAUAAGUAACUUGCUAAUUACUAAUAAGUGGACAAUUCUACUUGCUAAUUGUUCCCCAAUCAUCUUCCAUUGUCAUUUCCAGACUGGGCCCAGGAGUCAUUUCCUCCUCCUUUAGUUAACAACCCUCCCCCCUAAGAAACAGCAAUGUACCUAAUGGAUGCUGGGUUGAUUUCCUGCAGCUCUUCUUCAUCCAGAAAACACAGUUGCCCGUUUAGUUCUAGGAGCGGAAGCAGCCUUAGAUCCAACCGAUUUUAAGAAGAGGAUUGUUUUUGCCUUUGGAAAAGCUCUUUGGCUGUUGUAUCCAUCCAUCACCUUUCUGAAGAAGAUCAUCCUUUCUUCCUGAGGAACAGAACAUCCAUUGGGACAAUACAUCACUUUUUUUUUAAUGAAGAGAGAUGGUUUGGUGUAAAGGCUAAUGUACCAGGCUAAAAACCUGGAGACUGUGAGUUCUUGUCCCACCCUCGGCAUGGAGCCAGUUGAAUGGCCUUGUGCCACUUAUUCUCUUCAGCCCUGAGAGAAUAGAGAUUAAGAUGGUGACCACUUCAGUUUCACAAUUGUGGCUGCCAUCUUGACUUCAGGGCGGAACCACAGCACGCAGGUUCAUCUGCUCCUCCUACCUUGUUAAUGGAAUCCCAGAUCGUGUGAUUUAUGUAGAAAGCAAGAGGCCCAAGGUCUUCAAGGGUUGUUUCAUCCCAGGAGGCAGGAGAUCUGUGUCACAUGAAAAUAGGUGUUAGAUAGUGAUUGUGUGUAAUAUUAUUGUACAGGAUACAGCUCAUGGCCAGCAAAGCAAAAUUAAUAAUUAGGUAAAUGUGCAAUUCUGACUCUGAAGACAUUUUGAAAGAUCUACUUUUUAACAUUUUAUAAUUUGAAGAAAUCUAUAAAAAUAAACUUCGAUCUAUGCUCCCUUCCCA
rnacentral:lncRNA from 1 species